CAGCCGCCGCGGUAAUACGAACCGUGCGAACGUUAUUCGGAAUUACUGGGCUUAAAGCGCGUGUAGGCGGCUGGGCGCGUCGGAUGUUGAAAGCCCCCGGCUCAACCGGGGAAGUGGCACCGAUACGGCCGAGCUGGAGGAAGGUAGGGGGGUCUGAAACUUCCGGUGGAGCGGUGAAAUGCGUAGAUCUCGAGAGGAACACCAAUGGCGAAGGCAGCUUCUUGGUCCAUUCCUGACGUUCGUACACGAAAGCGUGGGGAGCGAACAGGAUUAGAUACCCCGGUAGUCCCUGUCUCUUAUA
rnacentral:rRNA from 1 species